rnacentral:rRNA from 1 species
GGUUAAGCGACUAAGCGUACACGGUGGAUGCCCUGGCAGUCAGAGGCGAUGAAGGGCGUGCUAAUCUGCGAUAAGCGCCGGUAAGGUGAUAUGAACCGUUAUAACCGGCGAUACCCGAAUGGGGAAACCCAGUGUGACUCGUCACACUAUCAUUAACUGAAUCCAUAGGUUAAUGAGGCGAACCGGGGGAACUGAAACAUCUAAGUACCCCGAGGAAAAGAAAUCAACCGAGAUUCCCCCAGUAGCGGCGAGCGAACGGGGAGGAGCCCAGAGCCUGAAUCAGCAUGUGUGUUAGUGGAAGCGUCUGGAAAGGCGCGCGAUACAGGGUGACAGCCCCGUACACAAAAGCGCAUGUGCUGUGAGCUCGAUGAGUAGGGCGGGACACGUGGUAUCCUGUCUGAAUAUGGGGGGACCAUCCUCCAAGGCUAAAUACUCCUGACUGACCGAUAGUGAACCAGUACCGUGAGGGAAAGGCGAAAAGAACCCCGGCGAGGGGAGUGAAAAGAACCUGAAACCGUGUACGUACAAGCAGUGGGAGCACAGGUUUACCUGUGUGACUGCGUACCUUUUGUAUAAUGGGUCAGCGACUUAUAUUCUGUAGCAAGGUUAACCGUAUAGGGGAGCCGGAGGGAAACCGAGUCUUAACCGGGCGUUAAGUUGCAGGGUAUAGACCCGAAACCCGGUGAUUCAGCCAUGGGCAGGUUGAAGGUUGGGUAACACUAACUGGAGGAAUCGAACCGACUAAUGUUGAAAAAUUAGCGGAUGACCUGUGGCUGGGGGUGAAAGGCCAAUCAAACCGGGAGAUAGCUGGUUCUCCCCGAAAGCUAUUUAGGUAGCGCCUCGUGAAUUCAUCUCCGGGGGUAGAGCACUGUUUCGGCUAGGGGGCCAUCCCGGCUUACCAACCCGAUGCAAACUGCGAAUACCGGAGAAUGUUAUCACGGGAGACACACGGCGGGUGCUAACGUCCGUCGUGAAGAGGGAAACAACCCAGACCGCCAGCUAAGGUCCCAAAGUCAUGGUUAAGUGGGAAACGAUGUGGGAAGGCCCAGACAGCCAGGAUGUUGGCUUAGAAGCAGCCAUCAUUUAAAGAAAGCGUAAUAGCUCACUGGUCGAGUCGGCCUGCGCGGAAGAUGUAACGGGGCUAAACCAUGCACCGAAGCUGCGGCAGCGAACGUAUCACUUAAAGCGAUUCAGCGGGUUACGAUUGACGGAGCGAAGCGACGUCAAAGCGUAUACAAAGUCGAGUCGGUUUAAGGAUACGUUCGUUGGGUAGGGGAGCGUUCUGUAAGCCUGUGAAGGUGUGUCGUGAGGCAUGCUGGAGGUAUCAGAAGUGCGAAUGCUGACAUAAGUAACGAUAAAGCGGGUGAAAAGCCCGCUCGCCGGAAGACCAAGGGUUCCUGUCCAACGUUAAUCGGGGCAGGGUGAGUCGACCCCUAAGGCGAGGCCGAAAGGCGUAGUCGAUGGGAAACGGGUUAAUAUUCCCGUACUUGGUGUUACUGCGAAGGGGGGACGGAGAAGGCUAUGUUGGCCGGGCGACGGUUGUCCCGGUUUAAGCGUGUAGGCUGGUUUUCCAGGCAAAUCCGGAAAAUCAAGGCUGAGGCGUGAUGACGAGGCACUACGGUGCUGAAGCAACAAAUGCCCUGCUUCCAGGAAAAGCCUCUAAGCAUCAGGUAACAUCAAAUCGUACCCCAAACCGACACAGGUGGUCAGGUAGAGAAUACCAAGGCGCUUGAGAGAACUCGGGUGAAGGAACUAGGCAAAAUGGUGCCGUAACUUCGGGAGAAGGCACGCUGACACGUAGGUGAAGUGAUUUACUCAUGGAGCUGAAGUCAGUCGAAGAUACCAGCUGGCUGCAACUGUUUAUUAAAAACACAGCACUGUGCAAACACGAAAGUGGACGUAUACGGUGUGACGCCUGCCCGGUGCCGGAAGGUUAAUUGAUGGGGUCUGGACCCGUGAUCCGGGUUGCGGACAGUGUCUGGUGGGUAGUUUGACUGGGGCGGUCUCCUCCUAAAGAGUAACGGAGGAGCACGAAGGUUGGCUAAUCCUGGUCGGACAUCAGGAGGUUAGUGCAAUGGCAUAAGCCAGCUUGACUGCGAGCGUGACGGCGCGAGGGGUAUGGCUGUUCGCCAUUUAAAGUGGUACGCGAGCUGGGUUUAGAACGUCGUGAGACAGUUCGGUCCCUAUCUGCCGUGGGCGCUGGAGAACUGAGGGGGGCUGCUCCUAGUACGAGAGGACCGGAGUGGACGCAUCACUGGUGUUCGGGUUGUCAUGCCAAUGGCACUGCCCGGUAGCUAAAUGCGGAAGAGAUAAGUGCUGAAAGCAUCUAAGCACGAAACUUGCCCCGAGAUGAGUUCUCCCUGAGACUUAAAGUCUCCUGAAGGAACGUUGAAGACGACGACGUUGAUAGGCCGGGUGUGUAAGCGCAGCGAUGCGUUGAGCUAACCGGUACUAAUGAACCGUGAGGCUUAACCUU